rnacentral:rRNA from 1 species
CAGGCCUAACACAUGCAAGUCGAACGCAUCCUUCGGGGUGAGUGGCAGACGGGUGAGUAACACGUGGGAACGUACCCUUUGGUUCGGAAUAACCCUGGGAAACUAGGGCUAAUACCGGAUACGGCCGUGAGGCGAAAGGUUUACUGCCAAGGGAUCGGCCCGCGUCCGAUUAGCUAGUUGGUGUGGUAAUGGCGCACCAAGGCGACGAUCGGUAGCUGGUCUGAGAGGAUGGCCAGCCACAUUGGGACUGAGACACGGCCCAAACUCCUACGGGAGGCAGCAGUGGGGAAUAUUGGACAAUGGGCGCAAGCCUGAUCCAGCCAUGCCGCGUGAGUGAUGACGGCCUUAGGGUUGUAAAGCCCUUUCGGCCGGGAAGAAAUAGCUCAGGCUAAUAUCCUGAGUGUAGACGGUACCGGGGGAAGAAGCACCGGCUAACUCUGUGCCAGCAGCCGCGGUAAU